GCAGCCUUCCUUUUCCGCAUUCUCUUCCUCUCAUGUAGCCUCUCUUCUUCCCCAUAGUGGGACCGCAUCUCUGCGUCUUUAGGUUUCAGAUUAUAUGGUGACCUCACUCAAUUGGAAUAAUCAUGAGAAGGAUGUACUACUUACCGUUCUCGAGAAGAUGGUUGCUGAUGGUGUUAAGUGUGAGACUGGCAGUUUUAGGGCUGGUACUUUUGUAACGAUUGCCUCCAAGAUGCGAGAAAAUAUUCCUAGCAUUUUUAUAGAGGCGAAACAUAUACAAAAUAAAGUGAAGCAUCAUAAAUAAAAGUAUUCCUCUGCAUAUGACAUGAUGAAUACCUCUGGAUUUGGCUGUGAUGAUGAGAAAAAAAUGUGUUGUUGUGGAUAAUUUUGAAAUACUACAAAAUUGGUUGAAGGUA